rnacentral:rRNA from 1 species
AAUCAACGCUGGCGGCGUGCCUCAGACAUGCAAGUCGAACGAUUAAGACUUCCUUCGGGAAGUGUAUAAAGUGGCGCACGGGUGAGUAACACGUAAGUAAUCUACCCUCGAGUGGGGAAUAACAUCGGGAAACCGAUGCUAAUACCGCAAAAUGCAGCGGCAUCGCAAGAUGACAGUUGUUAAAGGAGCAAUUCGCUUGAAGAGGAGCUUGCGGCAGAUUAGCUAGUUGGUAAGGUAAUGGCUUACCAAGGCUACGAUCUGUAUCCGGUCUAAGAGGACGGUCGGACACACUGACACUGAAUAACGGGUCAGACUCCUACGGGAGGCAGCAGUCGGGAAUUUUGGGCAAUGGGCGAAAGCCUGACCCAGCAACGCCGCGUGAGGGAUGAAGUAUUUCGGUAUGUAAACCUCGAAAGAAUGGGAAGAAUAAAUGACGGUACCAUUUAUAAGCUCCGGCUAACUACGUGCCAGCAGCCGCCGUAACAC